CAGUGCUGCAUGGCUGUCGUCAGCUCGUGCCGUGAGGUGUUAGGUUAAGUCCUGCAACGAGCGCAACCCUCGUCGCUAGUAAUUUUUCUAGCGAUACUGCCCGUAUAACGCGGAGGAAGGUGGGGAUGACGUCAAGUCAGCAUGGCCCUUACGUCCUGGGCUACACACACGCUACAAUGGGUGAUACAAAAGGUUGCAAUAGAGUGAUCUGGAGCUAAUCCUGAAAAUCAUCCUCAGUUCGGAUUGUAGGCUGAAACUGCCUGCAUGAAGUUGGAGUUGCUAGUAACCGCAGGUCAGCACACUGCGGUGAAUACGUUCCCGGGUCUU
rnacentral:rRNA from 1 species